GCCUUUAACAUAUUGAGGAAAUGAAAGCAUCUUUCCCAAUUAAAACCUAAAUCCUAAACGUGAAACCCAGUACCCCCAAAUCAAUUAUCGACGCUCCAUCCCCAAAAUCGAUUGUAAUCACUCCAAGAACGAUGCAAGGAACUCAAAAUUGAUCGUAAUCUGUUGUUUGUUGGAACUGGCGACGUGUAGUAAAGGAAAAGGAACGCUUCAAAAGAGCUGUAGCCUCGGGAGAGCUAAGCAAGUCGAUCAUACCAUGGGAUCCAUGAUGGCUGAAGCCUUCUGCCAAAUCUAUAUCACUCACUCAGGAUGGAGCCAACCUUGUCCAAUCCCUUGUCCAGCAAGAACUGGUAAAAUCAUCAGAAAUUGAUAUGGAAAGCAAUCAAUUGCAUGACGUUCCACAUGUUUUGGGGCUUAUGGACGAUGCAAUUAGCCUUCUUUAUCUUGAAUGUGAUGCCUUAGUUUGCUUGGUUUCUAAUAUGCAGAUGCUGAUCCUAAUAACCCUUAUUGAGACCUGAAUUAUAUAGCAUGUUAUUAAUCAAACGGAACAAUGUCAUGCCCAGUGAACAAAAAAAUAUGCAAUUUGAGGGUAAGCAUAUUGGUGGAUCACAGGCAUUCCAAGUUGAAGAUUUGUCUUGUAUGUUGAAGAAUGUUGCUAUAAUAUCUGAAGACGAGGACGUCGAGAUGUCCCAAUAUUACUAUCGCUAGGAAAAAUGAGAUAUUGAAAAGAGCGGGAAACUGAAGGAAGGAGCUCCAUAAAAUGUUACCGCCUAUGUAAUUGCUUAAAACAAUGUUGAUUGUAGUUGUCAUGGUGUACGAAGCUUAUUGUAAUCGUGAAAUGUUAUUCAAGUAUGUCCCUAUAUGUAUUUAUGAAAAAGUUUGAACAAUGAAGACUUGCUUUUGUUUUUGAAAAGUUCGCUCUUGUUUUAUUGUUUUUGGGAAGUUUGAUCGAAGUCGGGUUGAGAAAAUUCCCAAGUUCUUGGUGCA